CCUACGGGUGGCAGCAGUGAGGAAUAUUGGUCAAUGGUCGAGAGUCUGAACCAGCCAAGCCGCGUGAGGGAUGAAGGCACUGUGUAUUGUAAACUUCUUUUGUAAGGGAAUAAAAAGUGGCACGGGUCCCUGGUUGCAUGUACCUUAAGAAUAAGCAUCGGCUAACUCCGUGCCAGCAGCCGCGGUAAUACGGAGGAUCCGAGCGUUAUCCGGAUUUAUUGGGUUUAAAGGGAGCGUAGAUGGGUUGGUAAGGCAGGGGUGAAAGGUUGCGGCUCAACCGUGGAACUGCGAUUGAUACUGGCAGUCUUGAGUACAGGUGAGGUAUGCGGAAUGCGUGGUGUAGCGGUGAAAUGCGUAGAUAUCACGAAGAACACCGAUUGCGAAGGCAGCUUACUGGACUGUGACUGACGUUGAGGCUCGAAAGCGUGGGUAUCAAACAGGAUUAGAUACCCGAGUAGUC
rnacentral:rRNA from 1 species